GGCGGGGAAAAGCAAUGCAACCGAGGGCCAAACUUCACCGACGCCCGAUCGAGUUGAUAUAUACUGUUGUUGAUCGGGCGGAUUAAAUUUUGAGAGUCACCGACUGCUGAACUGAAGACUCUAACCUAUAAUUUCUUAUCAUCUCAAAGCUAAUUUAUUACUAUAUUCACACUACACGUUUUCUUUAUCAUUCGAAUUAAGAUAGAUCUUGGAGUCUUCCUAUUGGCAAUGCCGGUGACAAGAGCUAAUCGGCAGAUUUACGUUGAUUGGAAUAUUGAUGAGACCGGCUCCGUCUGCAGCUGUCAAAUGUUGAUCGGAGGAAAGAGACUGAAAGCGAGACGGAUAUUGGAUACCAAUUGAGCACGCAUUUAUCAUCGAUGGAUAAACGGCGCGCCGCUCGGUCGUGCGGCGAUUUAUUGCCUGAGGGCACCACUUGUCAAGAUACAACGGCGCGGCGCGCGCUUGGUCAUCUGGUCCAGAAAGCCCCGUGCCGGGUCCCGGCGAAAGUGAAGGGUGGAUUAGAAACAAGAAACACAUUGAAUAUUUAUAAAUAACUCGAUACUCGAAUAAUUGAGCGUUAGAUUGAAAAGUCAGCGAAAGUGAAAUGUCCUUGAUAAGAAUAAAUUGUUUCUAUAUGUUAUUUCUCAAUUAUAUUUAUAAUGUAAAUUUAUAGUGUAUAUUUAUAAUGUAAUGUAAAUUAUAAUUUUAACAAAAAUUUCUGAAAGAUCUUAAAAUACAGAAGUAACAAAUAUCUCGGCAUUGUAUGUGCAACAGAAAUUAUUCUUUCUUUUCAAAUAAGUGAAAAAAGUGUGACCAAAUAAAUUACAAAAGGAAA